rnacentral:rRNA from 1 species
GGUGCGUACGCGUUGCGACUAGCUUUAACUGGAAAAUAGCCCCGAGAAAUCUGGAUUAAUUACCGAUAUUAUUCUCUGAUAGCAUUAUCGGGGAAUGAAAGCUCCGGCGGUUAUUGAUGGGCAUGUGCGACAUUAGAUAGUUGGUGAGGUAACGGCUCAUCACGGCGACAAUGUCUAGGGGUCCUGAGAGGGUUAACCCCCACACUGGUACUGAGACACGGACCAGACUCCUAUAGGGGGGAGCGGUGAGGAAUAUUGGACAAUGGACGCAAGUCUGACCCAGCCGUGCCGCGUGAAGGAUGACUGUCCUAUGGAUUGUAAACUUCUUUUAUGCGGGAAAAAUAGCCUGGUCGAGAACCGGGUAUGAUGGUACUGUCUGAAUAAGCAUAGCCUAAGUACGUGCUAGCAGCCGCGGUUAUUCGGAUUAUGCUGGCCGUAUACAGAUUCAUUGCGUUUAAAUAGUGAGCAUGCGGAAUUAUAAGUCAGUGGUGAAAUCUCCCAUCUUAUCUGGUAAACUGCGAUUGAUACUGAUAGUCUUGAGUACCGUUGAGGUGUGCGGAAUGUGUCAUGUAGCGGUCAAAUGCUUAGAUAUGACACAGCACACCGAUAGCGAAGGCUGCUCUCUAAGCUGUAACUGACGCUCAUGCACGAAAUCGUAGGGCCUCAGACAUGUUUAGAUACUACUGGUGUAUCCACGCUGUAAACCGAUGAUAACUUCGAUGCUGGCGAUAUACUGUCAGCGACUGCUCUAAAGCAUUAAAUGAUGCUACCUGAGGAGAACAGGCGACAACAAUUG